GAAUCCAACUAGGAACCAUGAGGUUGUGGGUUCAAUCCCUGGCCUUGCUCAGUGGGUUAAGGAUCUGGCAUUGCCGUGAGCUGUGGUGUAGAUCAAAGACGCAGCUCAGAUCCCAAGUUGCUGUGGUUCUGGUGAAGACCAGCAGCUAUAGCUCCAAUUCAACCCUUAACCUGGGAACCUCCAUAUGCCACAGGUACUGCCCUAAAAAGACAGAAGACCAAAAAAAAAAAAAAAAAAAAAAAAAGGAAGGAAGGAAGGAAGGAAAAAAAAGAGAGGAAGUUCCCAUUGUGGCUCAUCAAAAAUGAACCUAAUAUCCACAAGGAUGCAGGUUCAAUCCCUGGCCUCACUCAGUGGGUUAAGGAUCUGGAGUCGCCAUGAGCUGUGGUGUAGCAGGUCUCAGAUGCAGCUCGGAUCCUGCGUUGCUGUGGCUGUGGUGUAGGCGGGCAGCUGAAGUUCCGAUUCAGUCCCUAGCCUGGCAACUUCCAUAUGCCAGAUGUGGCUGUAAAAAGACAAAUAGGAAAAGAAGGAAGGAAGGAAGGAAGGAAGGAAGGAAGGAAGGAAGGAAGGAAGGGAAAAGAAGAGAGGGAAUUGGCGCGGGGUGGGAGGGAGAGGAGUGGCAAAAGGGAGGGAAGAAGGAAAUAAACCCAUAGAUUGGACAGUUUAAGAUGCUCAUUCUUAGUUUAAGAUGCUCAUUCUUUCCAACGGCAAGGAGAACUACAGAUGCCAAGGUUUCUCAAGCUUCUAUCUAAUCUUAAAAUUAAAUUAGGUGACAAUUUAUGUUCUAAUGUUUCAAAAAAAAUUUUUGGCCAUGUUUCAAAAAAAAGAAAAACUAAAGCUUUCCCUCAUACAUUAAUAUCCAAAUGUAAACAAUUUAUCCAACAAUGUUCUAUUUAUAUAUCACUUAACACUUUAAGAAAACAAUAAAGUGGUAUAACUCUAACAUCUUUUGUUUCCACAUACUAAACAGGAUAAAUGCAUUGCUAUACAAAAACUUUCAAUCUUUAAAAAUGAAGCAAAAAUUUCACUAAGAAAAGACACCAAGUAACACUUAGUGUUAUUUUUAAACUCACAUUAGCUAUUUAUGUUUAAAGUGGUUUGUGAUUCAAUCAACUAAUGUUUACAGGACAUCAGUGAUGUGCAAUGUAUUAUCUCUGACACGGUACGGAAUACAAAGAAACAAAAGGUAGCAUCCAUACCCCCAUAAAACAUAUAAUUAAGUUAUGUAGACAAAGCCUAAGAACUGUGUCAGGUUAAACAAAAAUGCACAAGAAUGCAAUAUAAGAACUAUCACAUGGCGGGUUACAGUUAAUUGCAAAGCGAAUGGAACAAGCUCUAAGUCCCAGGCAGUGGACACCACUAUAAGCUAGGAGAUGGUAAGGAGAUGGGGAGUCCUGAAGAGGACCUGAAAGAUGGAUAAGAGCACAGGAGAGGGAAGGCUGAGGUCUGGAAAGCACAAGGUAUAUUUGAUCAGAUGAGAUCCAGCAGAGUUUCUCAUGGGGAAGCAGUGGGUAAGGCUGGGUAAAUAUUUUGGGAUAACCCUGGCCUUGAAUUCUUCAAGGUUAAGAAGAUGCUUGCGAGAAUACCUAAAUCAGCAUUUUAGGAUCAUUGGUCUCAUCGUAAUUUAUUUAUUUUUACGCACUGCUUCUUAUGUUGCAGAUACAGUUCUAAGUGCCUUAUAAAUAUCAACUCAGUUAAUCCUCAUGGCAGCCCUUUGUGGUAGAUACUAGGAAACUAAAGCACAGAGAGGUCACAGUCACUUCCCUGUGCCCACACAGCUAGGAAGGGGUGGGGCCAGUAUCUACAGCAGCAAUCUGGCUCUAGAGUCUGUCCUGCCUGCAGCUGUGCUAGCCUGGCAAAGGACAGCCAGGAUGGAGUGGGUCUCCCAGAAGCAGAUCAGGAAUCCCCACCUGGUGGCUGAACAAUGAGUCGAGCCUUGGUGGAAAAAGAGAAGAGAUCCUUCGGAGGAACCAGGCAAAAUAUCAAUUACUUGAACUUGGGUGAGUUUGGAAGUUAAGGGGGUGGGGUUAAAGAUGAUAAGAAAGGAAAAGUCAAAGAAAUUUUUUAUUUUGAUGCUUCCCCUGGAGAAACACAGGUCUGAUUGGAUAAGAUGGGUCCAGAUGUAGACAUGAAAGGUAUGAGCACCUUGAAACAUGAGUUUGCAUCUAGCUGUGUGACUCUGAGCAAGUUACACAAUCUCUCUUGCUUCUCAUUCUUCAUCUGUAAUGGAAACAAUUUCAGUAACUGAAAUGAUGUAAAUCAAAGAUUCAGCAUAGCCUCUGACAAGAAGAAAGCUUUUCCAUUAGAUGUCCCUGAGACACUGGAGGUAUGGGGCCCAGCGGGAAUGAGUUCAUGACUAAAGAAUGUGGGUUUGGGGAUGGAGGCGAGGAAGAGCUUAAAAUCAUAAAGGAACAGAAGUGGGAUUGCCUCUGUGCUGGGCUCUUCAAAUGUGUCAUUGUGCAUCACUCUCACGACAACAACACAGUGAGGCCACUUACAAUGUGCCUUAGGAAGAUGGAGUGGAGGAAGGGGCUAGAGAUUGAGUUUGUGACUGAUCAUCCCUUGUGAUGAAGCCUCCAUAAAAAUCCCCAAAAUGUGGGGUUUGGAAUGCUUCCAGGUUGAUGAAGACAUCCACACGCCAAGAGGAGAGUGGCGUAUACCAGCCUCUGCUCUUGGGGACAGAAGCUAUGGCACUUGGGACCCUUCUGGACCUCACCCUGUGUUUCCCUCCAUCUGGCUGUUCAACUAUAUCCUUUAGAAUAUCCUUUAUUAUUCAAUAAACCAGUAAACAGGUGUGUUUCCAUGGGUUCUGUAAGUGUUCUAACAAGUGAUCUAAUCUAAGAAAGAGGUCAUGGAACCUGAUUUAUAGCCAAGUUUGAGAGAAAUUGUGGGUAAUGUGGGGUCUACUACUUGUAACUGGCAACUGAAUGGGGCUGGGGGGCAGUCUUGUGGGAUCCUUCACCUGUGGGGUCUGUGCUAACUCCGGGCAGUUCGUGUCAGAACUUCUUGGUGUGGAAAAUUCACACAUCUGGCAUCAGAAGAGUUGUGAGUGUGGUAUCAGUAUAAGAGUAAAGGAAAAACGGAGUUUUUCCAAGUCGCUACCCCAAGUGAGGGCUCUCCAAUCAACUGCACUUAGGGGACCUGACCCAAGAAAAGCCCAAUGCAGUACCCCAGACAGCCACCUGGAUGCGCGCUUUCUCUUCUUGCCAAUUCUAUUUCUAAAGCUAGGAGGGUUUCUCUUGCACCACUGAUCCAACACAAUCUCAUUCUGUACCUCAUUUAAAAUCCUGUAUCUAUACAAAAUCUCUCAGAGACAUACUCCCAUCCUGUCCCCUUAACUGAGGUGGGGUCCUGGAAUGGGCCUGGAAACAUCUAUUGCUUUUGGCCUGGGUAUUCUAAUUUGCACGCCAUUGGCUUUUAUCUCGGAAGUGGCCACCACUUCUGCCCCAGGGUUUUCCUUACCCUCUUAAACCCACACUCAGAUUCCCUGCAUGUCUCAUAGGGUAUGUUAAUUCCCUACUAGAAAACAUCCCUGGCAGAAAGGUCAGUGAGGAUCCCAGCCAAGGAGAGCAGAGUUUCAAAGAAAGAGUGAUCAGCAGUCUUAAAGGCUAUCUGAAGUCUGAGGACCGGGAAAAGACACUGACUAAGCUACUGAGAGCUAAAGAGAGCUUGCAAAGAUGCUAAGCAACAGAGGCACAAACCACAUUGUAAGGGUGAAGAACAGAGAUGCUCUAAACCAUUUUCUCUGAAACUCAUCAAUGAAGGAAGGGAAAAAUAAGGUGAGGAGGGAGUUCCUAUCAUGGCUCAGUGGUUAACAAAUCCAACUAGGAACCAUGAGGUUACAGGUUCGAUCCCUGGCCUUGCUCAGUGGGUUAGGGAUCUGGCAUUGCUGUGAGCUAUGGUGUAGGUUGCAGACGCAGCUCGGAUCUGGCAUUGCUGUGGCUGUGGCGUAGGCCUGUGGUUACAGCUCCGAUUCUAUGCCACAGGAGCGGCCCUAGGAAAGACAAAAAGAGAAAAUAAUAAUAAUAAUAAUAAUAAGGUGAGGAGAAGGGGGGGAGGGGCACAUGAUCAACUGAAACUUGUUCUCAGGUAGAAAAUAACCUAGGGUUAUUUUCCAACAGAGGAUAAAGAAAGAGAAUAUGAAACCAAGGUCUAAGGUACAAUAAAAUUUCCCUCUUGUUGAUAAAAUAUUUAUAUCUCUUUGUCAUCAAGAAUUAACUUCACUUUCCAAAAGCUUUAAUGAGCAAGUAAAGUAUAUAUAAAUACAGGUACUGUUUCACUUGAAUUUUUUGGAUUUUGAAACAAUGCAUCCAUAUGCUAAUACAUGCAAAUCCUUUUAAAAUUAUAAGCUCUAUAGUUCUCUCUGACCCCUUUUGAUUAAAUUCAACUGGCAUGAAAAGCAGUAACUGAAGUAUUAAGAAUCAAUUAACAGUGAUCUGGCCGAUUGCCAUUACACCUUUAAUUAGCAGUAUUGGUUUCAGUAUCACGGGACAAUGGUCAGUGGCUAUAAAUGAAUUGAUUGCACAGCCACCAGCUGACAUUUUGAGAACCUUGAUACAUCAUCACUUUUUCCUGCUACUAAUUAAGAUUUAUAUCUUCCAGUGCAUUAAUUUUGCAAAGGCCCUUUGUGAUGGAGGCAGCGUUUUUCCACUGCCUUUGUGUCCGUGGAUCCCACUGGUUACAGCCUACACACUCUGAACACAGACUUGGCAACUCCAUCCCAGGGACUCAAUUCAAACGGGAUCCUCUGCUGAUCCAUUCAACAAACAUCUAUAAAAGGAUGACCACAUGCAAAUCUCAGGGCUAAAUGCUAGGGCAAGGGAGGAGGGGAGAGAGGAAUAAGGCAUUCACCCUGAAUUUAAGACGCUCAUCAUUUCCGGAGGAUACACACACAGUAGAUACUCACUCUGAUACAGUGGGAUGCAAAUUACAACAGGCUAGAAAUAAUGUGACUAAGGGCACAGAAAAUGAAGCAAUUAGUUCUGAUUUCCAACAAGUGACUUUUUAAAAUGCUUAUUGUCACAAAGAUUCAAAGGCUCACCCCUAAUUCAUAGAACAGAGACAGGGACUUUUAUUGGUCAAUUACAUGGCCAGUCUGGAUGUUUGUGAAGAAGCAGCUCAUCCAUCUCCAGCCAUAAUUCCCCCUCUGCUGGGAGCAGGGACUGGCCCAGCCUGGCUUGGCUUUCCACUCAUUGGUCAGAGGGUCUGCUUCUGUUCCUUCGCCCCUCCUCCAAAGCAGCCCAGUGCCAACUGUUGCCAUUUAAUGACACAAGUACUGCUAUAAUUAGAUCGACAUGCAUAAGAUACAUAAGAAGCACUUUAGAAACUUUUUUUUUUUUUGGCUGUACCCACAGCAUGUGGAAAUUCCCAGGCCAGAAGCCAAACCCGAGCCACAGCAGUGACAACCCCGAAUCCUUAACCACUAGGCUACCAGGGGACUCUUACUUUGGAAGCAUUUUUAAAAGCCCUCUUUCAGGCUUCACUCUUAGAGGUAUUAUUAAAACUGAUAGCCUCCAAACCAAAUAUGGAGAAAUAUAGCCUAACCCAGUUUUCUAGCUUUACAACUGAGAAAACUGAAACCAGAGAGCUAAUUUCCCUAGGACCCAGGUAGUGAAUAAUAACAGCAGACCUAGCACUCCUUCCGAGCAGCUGUGUUUCCAGAUGUUUUACACAUGUAGUAGUAGUUCCUUUAAUCCUCACAACUCGAUAAGACAAAUACAGGUAUUAUCUCUUUUUACGGAUGAGGAAACCAAGGCACAAAGAGGUGAACUAAGUUGCCCAAGGUCACAGUGAGACAUCACCAAGUCUAGCCUUUGAACCCAGACUUUUUGACUACAGAGCCUGCCAUAAUCACUACCCCACUAGGCAAAUGUGGCUCAGAACACAGGUGGUCUGACUCCUGGGCCGGGGCACUUCCAGCACACAGCACUGCCUUGAUGGCUGUGAUUCUCAGGUCACGACCUGGGGCUUCUUCCAUGGGUCACGGAGAGCUCCAGGGGUUUUUCCUUUUGGGAAGAGCUGGCUUGUUUUGGAGAUUUGCUCACAUCACUUCUCUUCCUCUGCCACAUUCUAUGCAUCUCUUGGCUUACAGCAGCUCAAGAAUCAGAGGAGCUCAACUUCGGAGCUACCGUUGAGGAGCUGAGUGUGGGCUGAUGAUGGGAACUCCCAAAUUAUACUUCCGACUUUGAACUUUUUUUUUUUUGUGCCUGAUCUCACUGAGAGACUGAACCUCUCAUGGAAGACUUUGGAAAAGUCAGAAGUUCCGGUCAUUUAGAAGAAAGCAUGGGAAGUGCAGUCGACAGAAAUAAGCUCCAAAGCAGAAGGGCCUGACUACGGGCUCAAGGGCCCCCAUCUGCACGAGAGAAUAACCUUCAUGAGACAUUUCUUUUCAUGACUCUGCUGUUUGGAAUCGCUGGCAGGCUGUAACCUCAAUUAAGCCAAGCUUUUUAUUUCUGAAUCCCUGGGCCCUAUGCACUAUCCUCAGUGGCAAGGAUGUUAGGAUUUCUGAAGAUUCCAACAUAGAACAGCUCCACACAGUCGCUAGAACAGCAGAAGGUAGUGACAGGUGACUGAGCAGCGAAAUGCUAUGUGUGCAGCCAGAGGGAGAACCGCCCAGAGGCCUCACCCUCAGCUGGACACAGGCAGCACCUGGAGGGCACCAUUUGUUUUACCUCAAAGUUCUGGGAUAGAGGUGACCUUAAUAAAGUCUGUUUGUGGAGUUCCUGUCAUGGCUCAGGGGAAAGAAAUCUGACUAGGAUCCAUGAGGACGCAGGUUCACUCCCUGGCCUCACUCAAUGGGUUAAGGAUCCGGCGUUGCCAUGAGCUGGGUGUAGGCCAGGUACAGCUUGGAGCUGGCAUGGCUGUGGCUGUGGCGUUGGCCGGCAGCUAUAGCUCCAAUUCUACCCCUAGCCUGGGAACCUCCGUAUGCUGUGGGGGCGACACUAAAAAGACCAAAAAAAAAAAAAAAAAAAGU
rnacentral:lncRNA from 1 species